CACACACACACACACACACAGACAUUCGCUACAUAGAGACAGAAACCCGGUCCGAGUUAUUUCCUCGAGUCGCUCAUUUAAAAGAAUGACGCCAAACGCCACUUACCAGCUCUCUGGUUCUGGGGUUUCCUAGGUUUGUUUUCUUUUUGUUUUCCCUCCCUCGUGAAACCUGAAGCUUGUUCGGUAUAUGUCUCGGUGGGAGGGACUUGAGUCGAACAGAAGGCUGCAGUCGACGCUGAGUUGGACUCCUGUCAAUAAAACGGAAAUGUUGACUUUUGUUUCAUGUCAUAUCCAUGUCUGAAACAACUAUGAUAGCUUUGGAUUCAGGGUAUUGUCUGGCCCAUAAGCUGUCACCACCAGCUCAGCCUCCAUCCUUCCUUUCCCUACCACCCCAGUUGCACCAGAGCAACAACUGAUGAGUAUUUUUGCGACAAAUUACACUGUGACAAGUUUGUUACCUUUGUGUCUGUGAUGUUUUUUUUCUAAUUUUGAUAUACUCUUAUAUUUCUCAGGCUGUGGAUGAGCGUCAGUGACACCACCCCUGUAAUCAUGAAAAUGACCACAGUCAAUAUUAUUAUUAUAUUAUCUGUUCUGUCCUUUUAACACUUAAUGUAUAUAAUACACAUGACCAGUGGAUGGUUGAGAUGCAUAAGAAGCGGGCAAAACAAAUAUGAUGUAUUUCUUUGUUAUUAGUGUAUUAGUUUUAAAAAUAAAGUAUUGUUGCAAUAGUUUAUUGCUGAAAUUAUUUUCUUACUAUUUAAAUUAUUCUUUGUAUUUCAUUUAUUUAUUAUUUUUCACUUCUGUCUGUCUGUUGAUUGGUUUAUUUUAUUAAUUUCUUCGUGGUUACUGGUGUUUGGGGUUCUUUGUGUUAAGAUUUACAGUAUAUUUUGUAAUAAAUUUGUUCUAAUUUUCUACAGCAUUAAAUUGUUUAUUUUUCUCAAAAUGUAAGCAAUCUGUGUAAGCAUUACGAACAGAAUGUUUUACCAUUUGGAUAUGUGGUAUUGUAAAUAAGUCACUGUCCAAUUUUUAUUAAAUAUGAAGUGACUUAGUGGCAUUUGAAAGAUUCAUAAUACUAGGUAACAGUUUUGGUAAAUAGACACAGGAAUUGACCCACGUACCUUUAAAUCAACAGCUGCUUAUGCCAUUCUCCAGCAUUGAGAAUGUUUAUAAGGAAGCUGACUGACUGUAUCGGUCUGAAAAGACUAACUUACAUUGCUAAGGGCAAGCGGAAAGAAUUAGUUUGGCUCUGGGAACCAUACAUGACCAUCAUGAAAGAUGGAUGUCAGGGAUUUACCUGAAAGUAGAUUGUAAACAAAGUUGGGAAAUGUAUUUAAUCUUAUUUGUAUUCUAUCUGGUAUCAAUGCAGGGUGAAUGUGUGUGUGGAUGGGGAUAUGUAUGUCUACGUUGUGUACGUACUUCUGGUCUCAAAUAGUUGUCGAUGUAUGUUUUUAGGUUUAUGAUGGUAUAAGAAAAUGAACAGAAACUUAUUGUGGAAAAAAUAAAGAAUAAAUAAACAAAA